AAUUAAUGAGCUUGUAUAAGCAUUUGUUUUGAAAACAAAAGAAAGAAUAUUACAUUCUAUUAAUUU
rnacentral:tRNA from 1 species